rnacentral:rRNA from 1 species
CCUACGGGCGGCUGCAGUGGGGAAUAUUGGACAAUGGGGGCAACCCUGAUCCAGCCAUGCCGCGUGUGUGAAGAAGGCCCUCGGGUUGUAAAGCACUUUCAGUGAGGAAGAACGCCUGGUGGUUAAUACCCAUCAGGAAAGACAUCACUCACAGAAGAAGCACCGGCUAACUCCGUGCCAGCAGCCGCGGUAAUACGGAGGGUGCGAGCGUUAAUCGGAAUUACUGGGCGUAAAGCGCGCGUAGGUGGCUUGAUACGCCGGUUGUGAAAGCCCCGGGCUCAACCUGGGAACGGCAUCCGGAACUGUCAAGCUAGAGUGCAGGAGAGGAAGGUAGAAUUCCCGGUGUAGCGGUGAAAGGCGUAGAGAUCGGGAGGAAUACCAGUGGCGAAGGCGGCCUUCUGGACUGACACUGACACUGAGGUGCGAAAGCGUGGGUAGCAAACAGGAUUAGAUACCCUUGUAGUC